rnacentral:rRNA from 1 species
AUGCCGCCUAGAUCAGAGGAAUUGGAGGCCGUCGCUCCGCCAUGUUCCGUUCAGGAGCCGAAACAACAAGCACCAAUGGCCGCUCCACAGCCGGGCAGACUGAUGAGAGUGUCGCACUACCCGCAGGGAAGCUCAAGGCCAUCGCCACCGACGUCGGCCGCCCCGGUGCAGGAGGAAACAUGCACGUGCUCGGGCCUCGGGGAAAUUGGCAGCGUCGUCCACGCCCAGGUCUUCGACAGAACGGCGUAG